UGAGUUCGCGGGAGAGUAAGUUAUUGCCAGGGUUUUUAUUUUAUACUUUAAACCUUGAAUUUAUUUUUUAAAUGUUUAAUAUUAUUUGAAUAAAACAUUCAAAUAAUAUAAAAAAUAAUAUAUAUAUUGACAUGGAUUAAACAAAGAUAUAUAUUAUUCUAUGUUGUAUAAACAAAUUGGCAAAAUAGAGAUGGAAGAUAAAAAUAUGGUCAAAGUAAUAAGAGUCUAUGGUGAAUGCCUAGGA
rnacentral:misc_RNA from 1 species